CCUACGGGGUGCUGCAGUGAGGAAUAUUGGUCAAUGGACGAGAGUCUGAACCAGCCAAGUAGCGUGAAGGAUGACUGCCCUAUGGGUUGUAAACUUCUUUUAUAUGGGAAUAAAAUGUUCCACGUGUGGGAUUUUGUAUGUACCAUAUGAAUAAGGAUCGGCUAACUCCGUGCCAGCAGCCGCGGUAAUACGGAGGAUCCGAGCGUUAUCCGGAUUUAUUGGGUUUAAAGGGAGCGUAGGUGGAUUGUUAAGUCAGUUGUGAAAGUUUGUGGCUCAACCGUAAAAUUGCAGUUGAAACUGGCAGUCUUGAGUACAGUAGAGGUGGGCGGAAUUCGUGGUGUAGCGGUGAAAUGCUUAGAUAUCACGAAGAACUCCGAUUGCGAAGGCAGUUCACUGGACUGCAACUGACACUGAGGCUCGAAAGUGUGGGUAUCAAACAGGAUUAGAUACCCUUGUAGUC
rnacentral:rRNA from 1 species